rnacentral:rRNA from 1 species
CGGGGAAUUCACAAUAUGAGGCCUGGCUUUCGCGGCCGGCUGAAGUAUUUUUUUUCACCCAUGUCUUUUGCGCACUUGUUGUUUCCUGGGCGGGUUCGCCCGCCACCAGGACCAAACCAUAAACCUUUUUUUCUUAUGCAGUUUCCAUCAGCGUCAGUAAAAACAAUGUAAUUAUUACAACUUUCAACAACGGAUCUCUUGGUUCUGGCAUCGAUGAAGAACGCAGCGAAAUGCGAUACGUAGUGUGAAUUGCAGAAUUCAGUGAAUCAUCGAAUCUUUGAACGCACAUUGCGCCCUUUGGUAUUCCAAAGGGCAUGCCUGUUCGAGCGUCAUUUGUACCUUCAAGCUUUGCUUGGUGUUGGGCGUUUUUUUGUCUCCCUCUUUCUGGGAGACUCGCCUUAAAACGAUUGGCAGCCGGCCUACUGGUUUCGGAGCGCAGCACAUUUUUUGCGCUUUGUAUCAGGAGAAAAGGACGGUACUCCAUCAAGACUCUACAUUUUUCACUUUUGACCUCGGAUCAGGUAGGGAUACCCGCUGAACUUAAGCAUAUCAAUAAGCGGAAGAAA